GAUGAACGCUAGCGGCAGGCUUAAUACAUGCAAGUCGAGGGACAGCACAGGUAGCAAUACUGGGUGGUAACCGGCAAACGGGUGCGGAACACGUACACAACCUUCCUUUAAGUGGGGGAUAGCCCAGAGAAAUUUAGAUUAAUACCCCGUAAUAUAGUUGAAUGGCAUCAUUUGAUUAUUAUAGCUACGGCGCUUAAUGAUGGGUGUGCGGCUGAUUAGAUAGUUGGCGGGGUAACGGCCCACCAAGUCUACGAUCAGUAGCUGAUGUGAGAGCAUGAUCAGCCACACGGGCACUGAGACACGGGCCCGACGCCUACGGGAGGCAGCAGUAAGGAAUAUUGGUCAAUGGACGCAAGUCUGAACCAGCCAUGCCGCGUGAAGGAUUAAGGUCCUCUGGAUUGUAAACUUCUUUUAUUUGGGACGAAAAAGGGCCUUUCUAGGUCAACUGACGGUACCAGAUGAAUAAGCACCGGCUAACUCCGUGCCAGCCGCCGCCGUAAGAC
rnacentral:rRNA from 1 species